rnacentral:rRNA from 1 species
CCUACGGGAGGCAGCAGUGGGGAAUUUUGGACAAUGGGCGCAAGCCUGAUCCAGCAAUGCCGCGUGAGUGAAGAAGGCCUUCGGGUUGUAAAGCUCUUUUGUCAGGGAAGAAACGGUGGAGGUUAAUACCUUCUGCUAAUGACGGUACCUGAAGAAUAAGCACCGGCUAACUACGUGCCAGCAGCCGCGGUAAUACGUAGGGUGCAAGCGUUAAUCGGAAUUACUGGGCGUAAAGCGUGCGCAGGCGGUUGUGCAAGACAGAUGUGAAAUCCCCGGGCUCAACCUGGGAAUUGCAUUUGUGACUGUACGGCUAGAGUGUGUCAGAGGGGGGUAGAAUUCCACGUGUAGCAGUGAAAUGCGUAGAGAUGUGGAGGAAUACCGAUGGCGAAGGCAGCCCCCUGGGAUAACACUGACGCUCAUGCACGAAAGCGUGGGGAGCAAACAGGAUUAGAUACCCUGGUAGUCCACGCCCUAAACGAUGUCUACUAGUUGUCGGGUCUUUAUUGACUUGGUAACGCAGCUAACGCGUGAAGUAGACCGCCUGGGGAGUACGGCCGCAAGAUUAAAACUCAAAUGAAAUUGACGG